AUUGAACGCUGGCGGCAGGCCUAACACAUGCAAGUCGAACGAGUGGCGGACGGGUGAGUAAUGUCUGGGAAACUGCCUGAUGGAGGGGGAUAACUACUGGAAACGGUAGCUAAUACCGCAUACCAUCAGAUGUGCCCAGAUGGGCUUGGCUAGUUGGUGGGGUAACGGCUCACCAAGGCGACGAUCCCUAGCUGGUCUGAGAGGAUGACCAGCCACACUGGAACGUGUACACGUUCCAUACUCCCACGGUAGGCAGCAGUGGGGAAUAUUGCACAAUGGGCGCAAUCCUGAUGCAGCCAUGCGGCGUGUAUGAAGAAGGCCUUCGGGUUGUAAAGUACUUUCAGCGGGGAGGCGGUACCCGCAGAAGAAGCACCGGCUAACUCCGUGCCAGCAGCCGCGGUAAUUC
rnacentral:rRNA from 1 species